rnacentral:tRNA from 2 species
GGAGAGGUGCCAGAGUGGACGAUUGGGGCGGUCUCGAAAACCGUUGUGGCUUUUGGGUCACCGUGGGUUCGAAUCCCACCCUCUCCG